UCCAGACUCCUACGGGAGGCAGCAGUGGGGGAUAUUGCACAAUGGGGGGAACCCUGAUGCAGCGACGCCGCGUGAAGGAAGACGGUUUUCGGAUUGUAAACUUCUAUCAAUAGGGAAGAAAGAAAUGACGGUACCUAAAUAAGAAGCCCCGGCUAACUACGUGCCAGCAGCCGCGGUAAUACGUAGGGGGCAAGCGUUAUCCGGAAUUACUGGGUGUAAAGGGAGCGUAGACGGUGAAGUAAGUCUGGAGUGAAAGGCGGGGGCCCAACCCCCGGACUGCUCUGGAAACUAUUUGACUGGAGUGCAGGAGAGGUAAGCGGAAUUCCUAGUGUAGCGGUGAAAUGCGUAGAUAUUAGGAGGAACACCAGUGGCGAAGGCGGCUUACUGGACUGUAACUGACGUUGAGGCUCGAAAGCGUGGGGAGCAAACAGGAUUAGAUACCCCCGUA
rnacentral:rRNA from 1 species